GUAUGAAACAGCCCGUAGUAUAAUAAUAUGAUGUUAAAAUUAAAAAACAGCUACAGAGAAAAUGUUCCAAUUUAAUCAUAAUGAGAUUGUGAGCGUCAUAACAUAAAAAUUACUUCAUCCAAGUAAGCAAUGAUGAUUUAUUAAAUGCAGUAAAUCAAAAUAAAAGCCCGUGUGAGAAAAUUGCAGCAAGUUUCAAUGGGGGUAGCGGCAUAUAAAUAAGACUUUAUACACAUAUCUCUGAGACCCAGGACCUUGGUUGCUGUUUGAUUUAUUGCAAAAGGGAGCUAUGUAAGGUCCCGCGAAUGGAUAAAAACUAAUACACAUUCAUCUACAUAAUUAUUGUAUAAAAAGUUCUCAAAAAUAUUUUGUACAUGUUUUCGAGGAAUUUCAUAAAAAAAAUAUUUCAUGUUUACUUU